CUUCUGCGCGGAAGAUGUAACGGGGCUAAGCUGUUAACCGAAGCCGCGGAUGCACUGAUUAUUCAGUGCGUGGUAGGGGAGCGUUCUGUAAGUCUGCGAAGGCGGUUCGAGAGGACUGCUGGAGAUAUCAGAAGUGCGAAUGCUGACAUGAGUAACGUUAAAGCAGGUGAAAAGCCUGCUCGCCGUAAGCCCAAGGAUUCCUGCUCUACGUUCAUCGGAGCAGGGUGAGUCGGCUCCUAAGGUCAGGCCGAAAGGCGUAGCCGAUGGGAAUCAGGUUAAUAUUCCUGAACCUGCGUCAGAUGCGAUGGGGGGACGGAGCAUGAAAGAUCAUCCGGGUGUUGGAUGUCCCGGUUGACGAGCGUAGGAGGUCUGCAGGCAAAUCCGCAGACGCAUCUCCAAGGCAAAGACACGUGCCGCCACGGCGGCGAAGUGAUCGGAAGUGCUUCCAAGAAAAGCCUCUAAGCACCAGUCUGACGCGGACCGUACCGCAAACCGACACUGGUGGGCGAGCUGAAUAUGCUCAGGCGCUUGAGAGAACUCGGGAGAAGGAACUCGGCAAAUUGACACCGUAACUUCGGAAGAAGGUGUGCCGUAGUAGCGUGAGAGGAGAGACACCUUGAGCGUGAAUCGGUCUCAGAGAAUAGGUGGCUGCGACUGUUUAUUAAAAACACAGCACUCUGCAAAGUCGAAAGACGACGUAUAGGGUGUGAUGCCUGCCCGGUGCUGGAAGAUUAAUUGAUGGGGUGAGAGCCCUUGAUCGAAGUCCCAGUAAACGGCGGCCGUAACUAUAACGGUCCUAAGGUAGCGAAAUUCCUUGUCGGGUAAGUUCCGACCUGCACGAAUGGCAUAACGAUGGCCACACUGUCUCCUCCCGAGACUCAGUGAAGUUGAAAUGUUUGUGAUGAUGCAAUCUACCCGCGGCUAGACGGAAAGACCCCAUGAACCUUUACUGCAGCUUUGCAUUGAACUGUGAACCGAUUUGUGUAGGAUAGGUGGGAGGCAGAGAAGAGUCCACGCCAGUGGUCUUGGAGCCGACCUUGAAAUACCACCCUGAUUUGUUUGCGGUUCUAACCACGGACAGUGAUCCUGUCUUGGGACCGUGCAUGGUAGGCAGUUUGACUGGGGCGGUCUCCUCCUAAAGGGUAACGGAGGAGUACGAAGGUACGCUAGGUACGGUCGGAAAUCGUGCUGAUAGUGCAAUGGCAAAAGCGUGCUUGACUGCGAGAGCAACAACUCGAGCAGAUGCGAAAGCAGGUCAUAGUGAUCCGGUGGCUCUGAAUGGAAGGGCCAUCGCUCAACGGAUAAAAGGUACUCUGGGGAUAACAGGCUGAUACCGCCCAAGAGUUCAUAUCGACGGCGGUGUUUGGCACCUCGAUGUCGGCUCAUCUCAUCCUGGGGCUGUAGUCGGUCCCAAGGGUAUGGCUGUUCGCCAUUUAAAGAGGUACGUGAGCUGGGUUUAAAACGUCGUGAGACAGUUUGGUCCCUAUCUGCCGUGGGCGUUGGAAGAUUGACGGGGGCUGCUCCUAGUACGAGAGGACCGGAGUGGACGCACCUCUGGUGUACCGGUUGUCACGCCAGUGGCAUUGCCGGGUAGCUAAGUGCGGAAGAGAUAACCGCUGAAAGCAUCUAAGCGGGAAACUUGCCUGAAGAUGAGUCUUCCCGGAGGUAAAACCUCCCUCAAGAGUCGUCCGAGACCAGGACGUCGAUAGGUCAGGUGUGUAAGCGCUGUGAGGCGUUGAGCUAACUGAUACUAAUUGCUCGUGAGGCUUGAUCCU
rnacentral:rRNA from 1 species